GGGCAAGUUCUGGAAAAUAAAGAAACUCACCUGACAUGUGUCAUACAGAUAUGUCACCUAAGCACUGGCCAUAAACAUGGAUGGAAUGAACCUCAUCGUUUCAUGGAAAGAAGCAAGACAGAGGGCAACUCCAUGCUAAAUGGAAUCCUCUCUGGAGAAACAUUGCUACCAUUGGUUUUGGCAUCCAACUAGUCGGUUGCAAUUACAUUACAACAGCACCUGCUGCUUCCCACAGCCUUCUCCAGCUUAGCCUUCAAGGCAGCUCUGACUCUGAGCGGGGCUGGGGAAGUUCAAAGUUAAUGUCCUUCUCUACUGUCACUGUCAGGGGUGUGCAGAAGAUUAGUGCCACCGCCCUCACCCUGGCAUGAAAAAUGCCACCCUCAGAAUGCAUAUGGAAUUCAGGAGGAGUCCUUAAAAAGCAUUCCAGCCACACAAGCUCUUGGGACUAACGGAGUACAAAAGGCACCUGGUAAAUAGAUAAAUGAAUCAGAUCAAGGAUUGACAAGGGUUCAACAUACAGAAUUCCUUGAUAUGUCAGGUAUCAGGUGCUGUUUAACAGAUUACUCCAAAACAUGCUGCCUUAAGAAAACAAACUUCCUCGUGACUCUAGGAUGGCUGGGGCUCAGCCAGGUGGUUCUUCUGUUGAUCUCACACAAGAUCUCCCAGAUAGGUGCUGUCAAAUGACAUCAGGAGACUGGAAUAACCUCGACAGCUCUACUCAUAUGUCUGGAACAUUGAUGGGGAUGGCUUGAAGGUUAGAAACUCUCUGUCUCUGUUUUUGUCUCCCUCUCUCACCCCACAUGGCUAGUUUGGACAUUUUUACAUGGCAGCUGGGUUCAAAGAAUGAGCCCCAAUGAACAAGGGGAUCAUUUUUUUAAAAGGUUUUUUUAUUUAUUCAUUUGACGGAGAGAG